rnacentral:rRNA from 1 species
CACGUAGGGGGCAAGCGUUGUCCGGAAUUAUUGGGCGUAAAGAGCGUGUAGGCGGUCCGGUAAGUCGGCUGUGAAAGUCCAGGGCUCAACCCUGGGAUGCCGGUCGAUACUGCCGGACUAGAGUUCGGAAGAGGCGAGUGGAAUUCCCGGUGUAGCGGUGAAAUGCGCAGAUAUCGGGAGGAACACCUAUGGCGAAGGCAGCUCGCUGGGACGUUACUGACGCUGAGGAGCGAAAGUGUGGGGAGCGAACAGG